rnacentral:lncRNA from 1 species
AAAAGAGAGAAAAGAUAGAUGGAGAAGGAGAUGGUGGCUUGGGCCAUACUUAAAAACUAACAUAUAAAAUACGUUGAUGUGGCUGCCUUCAUUCUCCACUAUCCAAGGUGGAGCACUGUGAUUGGUUGUUUCUUGAUUUGGGUUCAUAUAUGUUAUAUAUAACUAUAUAUAUAAAGAUAGUAUCAUUAAUUAAUAUUCAUAAUUUGCAAGAGCCUCCUCAGGCACUGUAUGAGAAAUGGGGUGGCUCAAUUCUUUCUUCUCUCCCUUGAAGAAACUAUGGUUUCGCGUCAAUUCUACUCAGAAGAAGAGUAUGGCCUCUCUUUCACUCUCUAUAUCUUUCUCUCUACCGAUUCUAUAUCUAUUUUCCAGCAUUAUAUUUGAAUUCACACACACACACACACAUAUAUAUAUAUAUCUUUAUAAUUAAUGACCCAGUAGAUCAGGUAUACUUCUUUUUUUUCGUGGUUCAUAUAUACUCUCUCAAUGAAACUAUGAAAAUGAAUUUUGUUUGCAUCAUGAACCUAUGUAUAUGUGUGUAUGCGGCAUUGUGUUAAAGUAGAAAGAUGGAUAAUGUGCAGGAAGAGGAAUCCCCUAUAUAUUAUUUGUGAAACAUUACAACUUCUUUUUGUAGCCACAUGUCAUUACUAGGAUGAUUCUUAGAAUUAUUAGAGAAAUAGGUUGGUCCAUCUCAUUAUAUAAUAAGCUUUUUAUUAAACUAACCAUAAAUUAAUUAUUAAUAUCAUUUAUUAUUUCAUUAAAUAAAGAUUACGGAAUUGCCUAAUGUGGGUAGAGUAUAUAUGACAAUUAAUGAUUUUGAAUAAUAAAGAUCUGAUAAAAAAUGUAUCUUCUAUCAAUUUUUUUUAAUUUAAAACUAUUAAAAUAAUUUUAAAAAAAAAACACAAUAACCAUAUUAUAAAAAUUAGAUUUUUCUGUAUAUUUUAUAUUUUGAAUUUUAAAAAAUGACUAUAAAUUACUAAAACUGUUAAAAGUCUCACAUUCAAAUUUUGCGAUCCAUGGUUUAAAAUUUUUGUUAUGACAAAAUACAAAUGAUUACAAAAUCAUAUAAAUAAAAGUCUAAUUUAAUUAAUCAUUAAGAUUUAAAAUAUAUAUGUAUAUAUAUCAUUCUAAAUUAAACUAUAAACCAUAUUGAAUAAAUAAAUAUUUUAGUUUCAAAAUUUACUUUGAAUAAUUUUUUUGAUAAAAGUUUUGAACUAACAUUGAUAAUUUUUUUUAAAUUAUAAAUUACUAAAAUUAUUAAUCCCACAAUGAAAAUUUUGUUAUCAGUAAUUUAAAGUUUUUGCUAUUAAAGAUACACAUGAUCAAAAAAACAUAUGAGUAGAAAGUAUCAUUUAAUAGACAUUAAUAUUAAAAAUAUACUAUGUAUGUUAAUAUCAUUUAGAUUUAAUUACAUAUCCUAUCAAAUUUUUUUUAAAAAAAUUGUUUGGAUUAAUAAAAUUGAUUUAUACGUUCGCACCAAUUUAAUUAUAUAUGUAAUAGUUACUGACUUUUAAUUAUUCAAUAUAUAUUUAUUAUUUCAUAAUAUGUAAGAACAUAUAAUACAUAAAAUAAUUUAUAUAUAUAAUGUUUAUCCCGCGCAAGGCGCGUAUCUUAAUCUAGUAUACAUAUUAUACGCGGACGUGAAGUCAUGUCCAUAUGAAGAUGUGCAUGUUUUGUGGUCUAUACUCGUGGAGUCUCAUCCACACGCUUUCGUUUUGGUUCAGAGUUCAUAUAUGGAAUGUUCAUGCUCAAGGACGAAACAAAGGAGAAAAUUGUUGGCGAAUCAUUCAUAUAUAUAUAUAUAUAUAUAUAUAUAUGUUACUCUCACUUGUACAUAACAAUAUAAAUACACAGAGAUUCUAAAUCCUUAUGGUUUUGUACAUAUUCUCUCUCGCGACUAUAUUGGUAUAUGGAAUGUUCAGAGAGUUCAUAUUCUCUCUCGUGACUAUAUUGGUGUAUGUACGGUUCUCUUGAGGUCGUAUAUGCAUACUUAAAAUAUUGGUAUAUAGAUUGCAUUAUUAGGAGAAAUACUUUAGAUAUGACUUAAAAGCAUAUGGAUUGUGUAUAUGAAAAUGUCCUAUAUAUAAUAGUGUGCGUGACAAAAAAGCAAGGAAAGAUGUACCAUACGUUCUUAUAAUUGGUAGACAUGAAAAGUUAAAGGUUGAUGGCGAAAGGAGAGUGAAUAGAAGUUGAAUUGUCAUGGAGAUUGUUGGCUUGUGUCGGUUGAUGACGUUAAUUAGUUGGACUUUGGAAAUUUGCGGUUGAAUUUAUUUUGCGUUUCCUAUUCGUUUAUGCUUAUAAGUUUUUUUCUAGGGGUAAAAUUUAUACAUAUAAGUUGAAAGUUAAGCUGGCAUUCUUUAAAGAAAAAAAAUGAGGGAAGCCAAAAAAGAAUGUUAUGAUUUAGUUAUUAUUAUUGUUACUAGGUCGUUGUCCGCGCAUGGUUACAUCAUUUUCUUUUUAAAUUUAGUAUAAAUAUGGUUACAUCGUUUGAUAACAUUGUAAUAAAAACUUACAAAGUUUGAGCUUGGACAGUAGUUAGAGAACUUGUUGUCCACUUAUUAAUAUUCUGCUGAUGAUCUUCUUUGACUAUAAGUUGUAUCAAAGUUCAAUAUUUGCACAAAAUUUCAGAGGUAAAUUAGAGUUUGGCAUUUUGAAUAUAAUAAGAGAGUGAGAAAGAAAUCAUGCAUAUUGAUCCGAGGGGUUUGUGGUUUAUUUGGAAAAAUAUAAGAAAGUAUGCAAGCUAGAAUAACUUUAAAAGAAGAUGAAUGAGAUGAAAUCACGUGAAAGGAAUAUAAAAAACAUUCAGCUUAAUACUACACCCAACAAUCGAGGGUUACUUUUUGUUGUUCUUCCCCUCUCAGGAUUCAGGAAGUAAUGUUAGUGUUUGAAAUAUACCUGGUGUUUUUGAGUCUCGAGGGCUCUGGUUCGGUGCUGAAGCUUCUAUAAUUUGGGAGCUCCUAGAAUCACUCUCUUCAAUGGAUUGGCUACUGACUGUCUUAUCUCUCACAUCUUCUUCUGGGCUUUGUAAUGAGCUUAUAAGAUGUUUUAUCUUUUAGAAUCAUGUGAGUAACUUAAAUCAGAAAAAAUCCAACACAUUGCAACAUUUUUGUUGUCUUUUUCAUCACGACCUGAUUGAUCUUCACAUUGUUUAUGCUCGGCGAAAAUCUUCCCAAAGUCAUUUACUUUCAUUUUCAACUUGUCAAAUUGUCAUUUUAAAUUCAGGUAAAAUAAAG